GAUCUCUUCCCGUARGGUGACCUGCGGAAGGAUCAUUA
rnacentral:rRNA from 1 species